rnacentral:rRNA from 1 species
UACAGAGGGGGCAAGCGUUGUUCGGAAUUACUGGGCGUAAAGGGCGCGUAGGCGGCCUUCUAAGUCGAACGUGAAAUCCCUGGGCUCAACCCAGGAACUGCGUCCGAUACUGGAAGGCUUGAAUCCGGGAGAGGGAUGCGGAAUUCCAGGUGUAGCGGUGAAAUGCGUAGAUAUCUGGAGGAACACCGGCGGCGAAGGCGGCAUCCUGGACCGGUAUUGACGCUGAGGCGCGAAAGCCAGGGGAGCAAACGGG